AUCGUCCGACGUAAGCACGCACUCGUCUUCUCUUCUCUUCGCCUUCCCCCACACCUCUCCCGUGGUCGUCCUUCUGUCCUCGCAUUCAUCCUCAAGCCCCCGCGCUUGUUCGAUUUCUGCUAUUUUCUGCUCCAAGGAGACCGUUGAUUCCUUGUCUUUUUCGUUGGGUUUGUUGGAGCUAGGGUUUGGGUUCGUCGAUGUCGGUUGCGGAGCUGAAGGAGCGGCACAUAGCCGCGACGGCUACGGUCAAUUCUCUGAGGGAGCGGUUGAAGCAGAGGAGGCAGUUGCUUCUUGAUACUGAUGUGGCGGCGUUUGCUAAGAGCCAAGGGAGAUCGGCGAUCAGUUUUAGCUCCACGGAUCUGAUUUGCUGCAGGACCUUGCAGGGCCACACUGGCAAGGUUUAUUCAUUGGACUGGACACCUGAAAGGAAUCGGAUAGUUAGUGCUUCUCAGGAUGGGAGACUAAUUGUAUGGAAUGCUUUAACGAGUCAGAAAACACAUGCUAUAAAACUUCAGUGCCCCUGGGUCAUGACCUGUGCAUUUGCGCCGAAUGGGCAGUCUGUUGCAUGUGGAGGACUUGACAGUGCCUGCUCUAUUUUCAAUCUCAAUUCUCAAGUUGACAGAGAUGGCAACAUUCCAGUUUCAAGGAUACUUACCGGGCACAAGGGCUAUGUGUAUUCUUGUCAGUAUGUUCCAGAUCAAGAAACUCGCUUGAUUACCAGUUCAGGUGAUCAAACAUGUGUUCUGUGGGAUGUCACAACUGGCCAAAGGAUUUCUGUUUUCGGUGGUGAAUUUCCUUCAGGACACACAGCUGAUGUAUUGAGUGUCUCAAUCAACAGUUCAAACUCGAACAUGUUUGUCUCUGGUUCAUGUGAUAUGACUGCUCGAUUAUGGGAUACUCGAAUUGCUAGUCGGGCAGUUGGGACAUACCAUGGUCACCAGGGUGAUGUUAACACUGUCAAGUUCUUCCCUGAUGGGCAGAGAUUUGGGACUGGCUCUGAUGACAGUACAUGCAGGUUAUAUGACAUGAGAACUGGGCACCAGCUUCAGGUGUACAGUCAACAGCAUGAAGGUGAUGACAAUGAUGUUCCAAUUGUCACAUCUAUUGCCUUCUCUAUAUCAGGAAGACUUCUAUUCGCUGGAUACUCCAGUGGUGACUGUUAUGUGUGGGAUACACUAAUGGCUGAGGUGGUUCUGAAUUUGGGAACAUCUCAGAAUUCUCAUGAGGCCCGCAUAAGCUGCUUAGGUUUGUCUUCUGAUGGUAGUGCUUUAUGCACAGGAAGCUGGGAUAAGAACUUAAAGAUUUGGGCGUUUGGAGGGCAUAGGAAGGUUAUCUGAGUCUCGUCAUUGGUAUUGAUGAUGGGAGCCUUUGAGGAUAUCAAUGUGAAGCUUAACUUUCACUACUUGCAAAGAGCAAACCUUGCACUCACGUUGGAGUCAGUUUGUUGUAUCCUCGACUCAAGAGGCCAUACCUGCAUGAUGUUUAGAACCCAAUACUCUGUGGAGCACUGUGUGGUGUAUGUCUGCACAAGAAUCUCAUAUAGAAGUGACUCAUUAUGGAUGGAUAAGACAAUAUCCUAGCUUAUAAUGGUCUCUAUUCUCUUUUUUCUCACUAUUGGAAUUUUGACAAUUUGUAUUCCCACCUUGACUAUCUGGACUGCCACAAAUGCUGCCCAUACGGAUGAAAGAACUGUUAAUUCCUUCCAGUAGAUGUUAUCCUUUAUAAGUAGCUGCAGUAUAAUAUUGACUGGUAUUAAACAGUGUCAUUCUACAUGGAGAAUUAAAAGGCUGUCUUUAGAUGCUACCUCAUCAUCUGAUGAAGUUCUACAUUGUGGAUUAGCAGGAGAGCCCCAGGGAGUGCCUUGUAUUCCAGUUCUGCACCUGGUAACAUUUUACAGGCAAAAUAUGAAUUGAAACUCUUCUGAAAAGAAACACCAAAAAAAAAAGAAAAAAGAAACAUCUGAUCUGGUUUUUAUUACAGUCUCUACAAUUAGUUGGUUCAAACAAUGUGUUAAGAAGAGAGUAUGGUAUAAGUUUGUCUUUUCCUUGAUCAACUGCCAUCUAUGAGUUCAUUAUCACAGAAAUAUUCAUAUUAACUGCUUUACAUACCAUUUCUUUGUGAGGCCUAGAGAUUUGUAGCUUCCUGAAAUCCAAAUAAAUCUUCAAAUCAAAAUGCAUGCUUGAGGGAAUUUUACAGUUGACAGCAAUAAGCAAGGAGGCGUACACUUUUCAUAAUGGAUUCCUGUUUCCAUGUUUCUACUCCUUUGAACAGUGCUUUUGUUUAUGUACCUAACACCAAGAGUUUACAACUGAUCAGUGCCUUUAUAUAGGGAACAAAGAAACAUAUCUGCUUUGUAAACUUAGGGUUACUUGCUACUGACAUUUAUUUUUCUGAAAGGGUAGCUUAGUUCCUACUGCAGGAUAUGAACACACUUGAUAAUUAGCUUUCUUCUAUUGAGAGGGGAAAUCUUUGUGUGCUCAGAAGAAAUCAGGACCUCUUUAUAUGAACAUGAUCAGCAAUUGUAGUCAAUGUGAUAUUAAUGCAUGUUGCAUCAAAAACAAAAAAGAGACUGAGAGGAAGAACAUAUGGGAUGGCCUAAAAGAUUACCUAGGAAGUGGAUGAUGAGGAAGACAGUGAGCAUCCAAUCUGGAAAGAUUAUAUUCAAAGCAACUCCAAUGCUGAUGCCCAACAUAAUCAUGGGCUGAAACAACUGUGCUAGAUCAUAGUCACUGAUUGGUAAGUCCAUGGUUGGGUGCCUCAGUCUCAGGUUGUAGUAUACUGUUGUUCCUGCAGCGCCCAUGAUCAUGCCUGCAGCAAAACAGGACAAUAUUAAUCUUCACAAAAACUAGUGCAGUUCACAGCUUAGUUCUGAAUUCCUCUUGACUAUUAAAAGUAGGUUGAAAUUAUUGUUCAUCUGCAUGCUUGUUGGCUUACACUUGGAAAUGGCUGUUGAUGUCUUGGGGUCAAAUCCAAUGAUCAAGGGGAGCAUUGGCACAAAGAUCCCUCCUCCUCCAACGCCACCAAUGCUGCCAAGAACUGCACCGACAAACCCAAUGAUGGAUCCCAGCACCACCCACCGGCUGAGUUCCAUGACCUGACUCCAUCCACAAACCAUUUCAGCUUAAGAAGAAGAAUAGGUAAGUGAGAAGAGUGUUGUGAUAGGUCACAUAAUGGCCAAACAUGAUUGUAAGAAGAUUCUUCUCCUCCAUUAUUUAGUAAAGAAUGGAAGAGGUUGGUGAGGAGAUCCUUGGAAUCCUUCUCGCCAAUCUCUUCGUCAUUCAUGCUGCUACUGCUGCUGGUAGCUGUGUCAAAUGGCCUCUUUGCGAAGGCCCUCUUGUUCUGCAAUGCCUGGCUGAAACACAGAAGCAGAACUGCUGCACACCACCACUGGGCUUCCCCGUUUUCUUCCACCCUUAACCUUUUUUCGAAAGCACCAAUGAAGCUUUUGUUUCUCUAAAAUUAAGCCAGAAGAAUGGUGGUGACGAUGGUGCUUCGUCACUGAGCUAUUACUUGGUCUCCUCUCUUUUUCUAGCUAAGUUCUUCCCACUGUUGUCAUCUGUAGCUGUUCUUCUAAUAGAUAGAGAUGAUGGCUGAAUGAGUUCUUGUCUUGUCGUGACCGUGUGUCUUGAUCGAGGUAAUUAUAAAUUACUUCUUAUGAUUA